rnacentral:rRNA from 1 species
AUUGAACGCUGGCGGCAUGCCUUACACAUGCAAGUCGAACGGCAGCACGGAGCUUGCUCUGGUGGCGAGUGGCGAACGGGUGAGUAAUAUAUCGGAACGUACCCUAGAGUGGGGGAUAACGUAGCGAAAGUUACGCUAAUACCGCAUACGAUCUAAGGAUGAAAGUGGGGGAUCGCAAGACCUCAUGCUCGUGAAGCGGCCGAUAUCUGAUUAGCUAGUUGGUAGGGUAAAAGCCUACCAAGGCAUCGAUCAGUAGCUGGUCUGAGAGGACGACCAGCCACACUGGAACUGAGACACGGUCCAGACUCCUACGGGAGGCAGCAGUGGGGAAUUUUGGACAAUGGGCGAAAGCCUGAUCCAGCAAUGCCGCGUGAGUGAAGAAGGCCUUCGGGUUGUAAAGCUCUUUUGUCAGGGAAGAAACGGUGGGAGCUAAUAUCUCUUGCUAAUGACGGUACCUGAAGAAUAAGCACCGGCUAACUACGUGCCAGCAGCCGCGGUAAUACGUAGGGUGCAAGCGUUAAUCGGAAAUACUGGGCGUAAAGCGUGCGCAAGCAGUUUUGUAAGUCUGAUGGGAAAUCCCCGGGCCUCAACCUGGAAAUGGCAUGGGAGCCUGCAAGGCUAGAUUCGGGCAGAGGGGGGUAGAUUUCCACGUGUAGCAGUGAAAUGCGUAGAUAUGUGGAGGAACACCGAUGGCGAAGCCAGCCCCCUGGGUCAAGAUUGACGCUCAUGCACGAAAGCGUGGGGAGCAAACAGGAUUAGAUACCCUGGUAGUCCACGCCCUAAACGAUGUCUACUAGUUGUCGGGUCUUAAUUGACUUGGUAACGCAGCUACCGCGUGAAGUAGACCGCCUGGGGAGUACGGUCGCAAGAUUAAAACUCAAAGGAAUUGACGGGGACCCGCACAAGCGGUGGAUGAUGUGGAUUAAUUCGAUGCAACGCGAAAAACCUUACCUACCCUUGACAUGGCUGGAAUCCUUGAGAGAUCAGGGAGUGCUCGAAAGAGAACCAGUACACAGGUGCUGCAUGGCUGUCGUCAGCUCGUGUCGUGAGAUGUUGGGUUAAGUCCCGCAACGAGCGCAACCCUUGUCAUUAGUUGCUACGAAAGGGCACUCUAAUGAGACUGCCGGUGACAAACCGGAGGAAGGUGGGGAUGACGUCAAGUCCUCAUGGCCCUUAUGGGUAGGGCUUCACACGUCAUACAAUGGUACAUACAGAGCGCCGCCAACCCGCGAGGGGGAGCUAAUCGCAGAAAGUGUAUCGUAGUCCGGAUUGUAGUCUGCAACUCGACUGCAUGAAGUUGGAAUCGCUAGUAAUCGCGGAUCAGCAUGUCGCGGUGAAUACGUUCCCGGGUCU